rnacentral:tRNA from 1 species
GCCCUCGUAGUUCAACGGAUAAAAUGCAAGAUUCCGAAUCUUGCGAUAGAGGUUCGAUUCCUCUCGAGGGCA